AACAGAGGACAGCGAUAUUCAAUGUUGCGAAUUGAAAGUGGCACGAGAAAAAGAAGAGCGACGUCAUUUGGCGGAGCACUGGAGAGCAGGAAGGAACUGUCGUCGAACGCCUGUUAUCUCGCUCGGCCAGCGAUGAAGUAAAGCAACGCCGCGCGCAAGUUUGGCUUCCAGACUGCAGGCAUAAUUGGCGUGAACGCUGUAAACAAGCUAGGGGUAAGUUUCUUACCAGACUCGACUGCACUCCUUCCAAGUGGCAUUCUACUCAAAUUUUCCAAUUAUUCCUACGGCGAGUUUUUUUCCAUAGAACGUCAAAUAUUCUAUAUGGAGUUCCAGCAAAUUUUAGUCACUUAUUCUACUUUACAAAGAGGACAUUUCGAGACGCGUCUGACUCUAUUAGCACGAUUCUGCUCUAAAUUUAUCAUCAUGUAAAUCUAAUUAUCCUUUUUAAUGGCAAUUGUUCCACGCGCAUACUAAUUUAAUCGAAAUUGAGGUUGAGCCAAGCUUGUAAAUUGAAUUUUUUUCAUCAAUAUCUAUCUUAAUCUGAAAUAAAGUUUCUUAAUUCACGCUCACAUUUCGUGGCUUACUUUAGUUUACUUUAUUUGACUUUGGAAUAGAAACCAGUCAACCUAUCAAAUUACUAAAACUAGACGCUUUCUCAAUUGAAAGUACAAAGCUUUGUACACAGAUUCGAUGAUAAUAAUUUUUCGCGUUGAAGUAACCAGGAGUCCCGAGAAUAUGUCGGAAUUAAUUAUAAUCUUAAUGAGCGUGUUUCUCUGCCUGAAUCGUAAACUAAA